rnacentral:tRNA from 1 species
UUCUUAGCUUAGUUGGUAGAGCACCCGCUUAGUAAGCGGGAGGUCGUCGGUUCAACUCCGGCAGAAG